GUAUUUCAUAUUCUGAAUGUAGCGAAGAUGAACAUAUUUUUAUUUUCUUCAAUUUUGGUGGGUUUAUUACCCAUUUUUAUUGAGAAUUUGAAGGUGCAAAAAUUUGAUCCAAAUGGAGGCGGUGGCAGUUGGGGAGGUGUUGGGAGUUGGAGAGGCGAUGGAAAUUGGGGAACCUACGGAGGUGGUGAAAGAGGUGUAGAAGUCGGUAAACAAGGAGAUGGCGGUGAUAGCGGUGCAAGUUGGAGAGGCGGUGGAAGUGACGGAAUUUGGAGAG